AGUGAACGCUGGCGGUAGGCCUAACACAUGCAAGUCGAACGGCAGCACAGUAAGAGCUUGCUCUUACGGGUGGCGAGUGGCGGACGGGGGGGGAAUACAGCGGAAUCUACUUUUUCGUGGGGGAUAACGUAGGGAAACUUACGCUAAUACCGCAUACGACCUACGGGUGAAAGCAGGGGAUCUUCGGACCUUGCGCGAUUGAAUGAGCCGAUGUCGGUGUAGCUAGUUGGCGGGGUAAAGGCCCACCAAGGCGACGGUGCGUAGCUGGUCUGAGAGGAUGGUCAGCCACACUGGAACGGAGACACGGCCCAGACUCCUACGGGAGGCAGCAGUGGGGAAUAUUGGACAAUGGGCGCAAGCCUGAUCCAGCCAUACCGCGUGGGUGAAGAAGGCCUUCGGGUUGUAAAGCCCUUUUGUUGGGAAAGAAAAGCAGCAGGUUAAUACCCCGCUGUUCUGACGGUACCCAAAGAAUAAGCACCGGCUAACUUCGUG
rnacentral:rRNA from 1 species